AGGAUUAACGCUGGCGGCGUGCCUAACACAUGCAAGUCGAACGAGGUAGCAAUACCUAGUGGCAGACGGGUGAGUAGCGCGUGGUCAACCUACCGUUGAGUGGGGGAUAACUAGCCGAAAGGUUAGCUAAUACCGCAUACGUCUCCGAGGGGCAUCCCUUGGUGAUAAAAGGAGCAAUCCGCUCGAUGACGGGACCGCGUCCCAUUAGCUAGUUGGUGGGGUAACGGCCUACCAAGGCAUCGAUGGGUAACUGGUUUGAGAGAGCGACCAGCCACACUGGGACUGAGAUACGGCCCAGACUCCUACGGGAGGCAGCAGUGAGGAAUUUUCCGCAAUGGGCGAAAGCCUGACGGAGCGACGCCGCGUGUGGGAAGAAGGCCUUCGGGUCGUAAACCACUGUCGAAGGGGAAGAUAAUGACGGUACCCUUGGAGGAAGCCCGGCUAACUACGUGCCAGCAGCCGC
rnacentral:rRNA from 1 species